rnacentral:lncRNA from 1 species
GAGAGCACCACCAGGGUAAAGUGACAACACUGACACACUUCUGCUGCUGUGUUUUAUGAAGAAGACCAUUAUCAAGUAUGUCUUUUCUUCCUUGAAGCCGAACACAUUGACUUCAGAUGAUUACGCUUAACUUUCCCAGAAGUCCAGACAAGCAGAUGAUAACUUCCACCAGGACAAUAGAGUGAAGCUCAAGGACACACAGAAUCUCAUUUUCCAAACCUGGAAAAUAAGCACCAGAAUGACUCAUCAGCCAGCAAGAUGCAUGAAGAGACCAAAUCCUCUGAAUGAAUUCUGCAGUGGAAGCUAAAAGGAUUCAAUAGGAAAUAGGAAACCCCAGUCACCCAGGAAUCUUGGAAGUGAUUGUGGACUGGUCAGAAGACAAAGACUUUGGAAUAUU